AAUUUCUCAAGCUUGGAUGGCCUUUAUGUCUGUCCUUAGCCUUGGUUGUUGGGCUUUGCCGUGUCCUUCAUUGGGACGGCUGGCCUUAAAUGCAUUAGCUGAUCCUUGUGUGGCACUGGUUCUACUCAGCGUGAUAAUAGUCUGAUCGCUGAGGACAUCUUUCGGGAUGGCCAGUCCUCAUUUGGGUUGCUUCUAACCUUGGUGUUGCAAGUUAUUUCAAUCUGUAAUGCCACUUUUCAG
rnacentral:misc_RNA from 1 species